rnacentral:rRNA from 1 species
UGGGGAAUAUUGCACAAUGGGCGCAAGCCUGAUGCAGCCAUGCCGCGUGUAUGAAGAAGGCCUUCGGGUUGUAAAGUACUUUCAGCGGGGAGGAAGGCGAUAAGGUUAAUAACCUUUGUCGCAUUUGACGUUACCCGCAGAAGAAGCACCGGCUAACUCCGUGCCAGCAGCCGCGGUAAUACGGAGGGUGCAAGCGUUAAUCGGAAUUACUGGGCGUAAAGCACACGCAGGCGGUCUGUCAAGUCGGAUGUGAAAUCCCCGGGCUCAACCUGGGAACUGCAUUCGAAACUGGCAGGCUGGAGUCUUGUAGAGGGGGUAGAAUUCCAGGUGUAGCGGUGAAAUUGCGUAGAGAUCUGGAGGAAUACCGGUGGCGAAGGCGGCCCCCUGGACAAAGACUGACGCUCAGGUGCGAAAGCGUGGGAGCAAACA